AACGGCCAUACCAGGUUCAAAACACCGGUUCUCGUCCGAUCACCGCAGUUAAGCAACCUUGGGCGUGGUUAGUACUUAGAUGGGUGACCGCUUGGGAACACCGCGUGCUGUUG
rnacentral:rRNA from 1 species